rnacentral:rRNA from 1 species
UCGGGAAUUUUGGGCAAUGGGGGAAACCCUGACCCAGCAACGCCGCGUGAAGGAUGAAGUAUUUCGGUAUGUAAACUUCGAAAGAAUAGGAAGAAUAAAUGACGGUACUAUUUAUAAGGUCCGGCUAACUACGUGCCAGCAGCCGCGGUAAUACGUAGGGACCAAGCGUUGUUCGGAUUUACUGGGCGUAAAGGGCGCGUAGGCGGCAUGACAAGUCACUUGUGAAAUCUCUGGGCUUAACCCAGAACGGCCAAGUGAUACUGUCGCGCUAGAGUGCAGAAGGGGCAAUCGGAAUUCUUGGUGUAGCGGUGAAAUGCGUAGAUAUCGGGAGGAACACCUGUGGCGAAGGCGGCCACCUGGUUGGAUACUGACGCUGAGACGCGAAAGCGUGGGGAGCAAACAGGAUUAGAUACCCAAGUAGUCCCUGAGCGGGCUGGCAAGGCGCAU